UAUUUCAUUAUUAGUUGGUUAGCGAUUAAAAGAUGAUCGGUCAAUGAAUUCGAAAUAUCAAGGAGGUAGUGUAGACUGUUGGUGGUAGAUCAAGCAGUUUUCGUUCUCGCCGGAAUACUUGGAGAUACCCGGUAACAAACCGGUUUACUUAUAGGAUUACUGGAAUCGAUCUGCACAUUGUCGUCGAGAAGAAGGAGAGGGAUAUACAUAACCUGCGCUUUGUGGUAGAACACCAAAAUUGUGAGUUUGUAGUCAUUAUGGAAGUAUAGCGAAGUGAUUAUUAACGUUAAAUAUAUCUUUCAGCUUAGA